rnacentral:rRNA from 1 species
UGGGGAAUAUUGGACAAUGGGGGGAACCCUGAUCCAGCGAUGCCGCGUGUGUGAAGAAGGCCUGAGGGUUGUAAAGCACUUUAGUUGGGGAGGAAAGGCUCUCUUCGAAUAGGGGGGAGAAAAGACGUUACCCAAAGAAUAAGCACCGGCUAACUCUGUGCCAGCAGCCGCGGUAAUACAGAGGGUGCAAGCGUUAAUCGGAAUGACUGGGCGUAAAGGGCACGUAGGCGGAUAGAUAUGUCAAAGGUGAAAUCCCCGGGCUCAACCUGGGAACUGCCUGUGAAACUGUGUAUCUAGAAUAGAGUAGAGGUAAGUGGAAUUUCCGGUGUAGCGGUGAAAUGCGUAGAUAUCGGAAAGAACACCAGUGGCGAAGGCGACUUACUGGGCUCAUAUUGACGCUGAGGUGCGAAAGCGUGGGGAGCAAACGGG